CCUACGGGUGGCAGCAGUGAGGAAUAUUGGUCAAUGGACGAGAGUCUGAACCAGCCAAGUAGCGUGAAGGAUGAAUGCCCUAUGGGUUGUCAACUUCUUUUAUAUGGGAAUAAAAUGUUCCACGUGUGGGAUUUUGUAUGUACCAUAUGAAUAAGGAUCGGCUAACUCCGUGUCAGCAGCCGCGGUAAUACGGAGGAUCCGAGCGUUAUCCGGAUUUAUUGGGUUUAAAGGGAGCGUAGGUGGAUUGUUAAGUCAGUUGUGAAAGUUUGCGGCUCAACCGUAAAAUUGCAGUUGAAACUGGCAGUCUUGAGUACAGUAGAGGUGGGCGGAAUUCGUGGUGUAGCGGUGAAAUGCUUAGAUAUCACGAAGAACUCCGAUUGCGAAGGCAGCUCACUGGACUGCAACUGACACUGAGGCUCGAAAGUGUGGGUAGCAAACAGGAUUAGAUACCCUUGUAGUC
rnacentral:rRNA from 1 species